rnacentral:rRNA from 1 species
UACGUAGGGUGCAAGCGUUGUCCGGAAUUACUGGGCGUAAAGAGUUCGUAGGCGGUUUGUCGCGUCGUUUGUGAAAACCAGCAGCUCAACUGCUGGCUUGCAGGCGAUACGGGCAGACUUGAGUACUGCAGGGGAGACUGGAAUUCCUGGUGUAGCGGUGAAAUGCGCAGAUAUCAGGAGGAACACCGGUGGCGAAGGCGGGUCUCUGGGCAGUAACUGACGCUGAGGAACGAAAGCGUGGGUAGCGAACAGGAUUAGAUACCCUGGUAGUCCACGCCGUAAACGGUGGGCGCUAGGUGUGGGUUCCUUCCACGGAAUCCGUGCCGUAGCUAACGCAUUAAGCGCCCCGCCUGGGGAGUACGGCCGCAAGGCUAAAACUCAAAGGAAUUGACGGGGGCCCGCACAAGCGGCGGAGCAUGUGGAUUAAUUCGAUGCAACGCGAAGAACCUUACCUGGGUUUGACAUAUACCGGAAAGCUGCAGAGAUGUGGCCCCCCUUGUGGUCGGUAUACAGGUGGUGCAUGGCUGUCGUCAGCCCGUGUCGUGAGAUGUUGGGUUAAGUCCCGCAACGAGCGCAACCCCUAUCUUAUGUUGCCAGCACGUUAUGGUGGGGACUCGUAAGAGACUGCCGGGGUCAACUCGGAGGAAGGUGGGGACGACGUCAAGUCAUCAUGCCCCUUAUGUCCAGGGCUUCACACAUGCUACAAUGGCCAGUACAGAGGGCUGCGAGACCGUGAGGUGGAGCGAAUCCCUUAAAGCUGGUCUCAGUUCGGAUCGGGGUCUGCAACUCGACCCCGUGAAGUCGGAGUCGCUAGUAAUCGCAGAUCAGCAACGCUGCGGUGAAUACGUUCCCGGGCCU